GUGAGGAAUAUUGCGCAAUGGAGGCAACUCUGACGCAGCCAUGCCGCGUGCAGGAAGAAGGCGCUACGCGUUGUAAACUGCUUUUAACCGGGAAGAAACCCCAGGACGUGUCCUGGGUUGACGGUACCGGAGGAAUAAGCACCGGCUAACUUCGUGCCAGCAGCCGCGGUAAUACGAAGGGUGCAAGCGUUAUCCGGAUUCAUUGGGUUUAAAGGGUGCGUAGGCGGAGCGUUAAGUCUGUGGUGAAAUCCUGCAGCUUAACUGUAGACUUGCCAUUGAUACUGGCGCUCUUGAGUGCGCUUGAAGUGGGCGGAAUGUGACGUGUAGCGGUGAAAUGCUUAGAUAUGGCACAGAACACCAAUUGCGAAGGCAGCUCACUAAGGCGAUACUGACGCUGAGGCACGAAAGCGUGGGGAUCGAACAGGAUUAGAUACCCUAGUAGUCC
rnacentral:rRNA from 1 species